UGGCUCUCAGUUAGGCCUGUUUUGAAAAUCCCAGUCUAAACUCUGCACAAGGUUAAAUUUCACUCGCCUGGUAUGAUUUUCUCAACAACAUUUUCACUGCACAACAUAAGAUAUUUUAGUGCAACCAUGGGUAUCUGAUAUAGCAAGACUACCAGCUCACUUCACAAAGUACCCUGAAGAGCCAACACUGUGUAUGAUGUGCACACUGCUAUCAAGCCAUCUGGAUUCACCCUACAGCUUCAGGAUGUGGAAGGUCCUCCGUUCCUUUGUCAGCCCCCUGGCUCAUCCAUGAACUAGCAGCUGCACAUGGGGGAGAACCACCAGGCACCAGCAAUGUGGCUAUAAGGAUGCUGCCACCAUCAGCCAGCACCCUCUACCCCGUGGAGCCUAGCAAACUCUGGGGAAAGCUUAUCGGACCCGCAGAGCCUGAAUAGCUCCAGGGAAACUUCUCGAAUUCGACUUGACCGGACCCGCGGAGCCUAGCAAACUCCAUGGGAGCAAUCGUUUUGUCAGAGUCCUCCAACGAGGGUUCAAGCAGGAGCUGUGCCUGGAAACUUAUCCAGCCUACACCGAUACCAUUUUUAGGUGCGACAGAAGGCUGGGACUAAUGGAGCUUAGACCUCGCAAAACUUCACGGCGGCCAGCAACAGCAGUAGCAUCAUGGCGCCACCAUCCCAAAGCACCUGGCACCACUCGGCAUGCAGCUGAUCCAAUGUAAAACACCAGUGCACACCAGCCCCACAACAGCCCUGCGGGAAGAAGAGGCAGGGGUCAGGUGGGGCUCAGCCCCUGCCCCCACAUAUGCUUUAGCUAAAAGAGACAAUAUGAUUGACUUCCUUUGUAGCAGAAAGCCCCCUUUUCCUCUUGUUUGCACUUGCUCUCCCCUCUUUGAAUAUGUUUUUCCUCUUCUACCUUUUCUUCCUUCCUCUUUCUUCACUUUAAGAUAAGGAAUUGUGUUUUAAAAUUUGUAUGUAUGCAUUUUGUAUCUCCCCUUGUAUUUUGGUAUAUUUAUCUAUUUGUGUGCCAUGGCAUUACUUUUGUAGCUUAUAUUUUAUACUCCUCACCUUUCAACUUUCAACUAUAAAUGUGUUUAGUAACAAUGUUAACAAGGGCAGGAGUCAAACUGCCGCUUCCCUGUAUCAGGCGGGCCCCUGAAAGAGCGAGUGAAUCAGUGAUUGAAUGCGUAACACAGUAGCAGACAGUAAUUAAAACCUAGGGAAAUCGCAGAUCAACCAGCGGAAGAACUCAAUAGAAGACAAUGUAACAACCGGGAAACCUCUAAACAUCACUGUUCAAGGGCUAGAAGCCCUGGUCUGAGUUAAUCAACGCCAGGGACCAACUUUUGGGAUGAAUAUCUCCAGAUCAACCACUCCCAGAGCCCUAUUCAAAAUUCAUCAAUGGACUCCCAAACCUGCAUGUACAUGCGGAUGACCCCUGGGGCUGACAGAUGCCAUCCAGUAGCCACUGAGGGGGAAGUCCCACAAGGGUCAAUGACCCCUGGAUUGGGCAAACCUGAAAACUGGGGAGUCACCAAAGUCUGCCAAGGACAGAUAAAAAGCAGUGAAAAGUGACCCUCAGCGGCUCCCUCUUGAUCUCCAAUUUGACCAGCACCCGACCUGUCCAGCCAGAAGGACCAGCCGGCGACCCCCUUCUGGAAGAUAACACUAUGCUGAAAGAAGCCUCAACGGCAGACUCCAGUGCCUGUGGGAUAGGUAUACCUGACUCUUGUAGCUUGUUACUGUGUGUGUGCAUGUGUGUGUGUGUGUGUGUGGGGACCAGCCCCAAGGUUUAUGAUUUAACUUCAUUACAGUGCUUUAAUCCGCCUAAUAAACCAGAAUUUUAAGGA